rnacentral:lncRNA from 1 species
GUCUGGGGUCCCCGUGGGUCUGGGGUCUCUGUGGGUCUGGGGUCUCUGUCUCUCUGGGUCUGGGGUCCCGUGUCUCUGUGGGUCUGGGGUCCCCGCAUGGUCUGACGCCCUCCCCCCAGGGCAGUGCGUGAUCCAGGUGCUGCCGCCGCUGCCGACGCGCGGCCUGGGCGCGGCCGAGGUGCCGGCGCUGACCGAGCGCGUCCGCGCCGCCAUGCUGGCCGCCUUCGAGCGGCUCUCGGCCGAGCUGCGCCCGAGUGACCGCCAGAGUGACCACGGGAGUGACCACGGGAGUGACCGGCACAGUGACCACGGGAGUGACCAGCACAGUGACCGUGGGAGUGACCAGAACAGUGACCACGGGAGUGACCGCCCGAGUGACCAGCGCAGUGACCAGCACAGUGACCGCCUGAGUGACCGCCCGAGUGACCGCCAGAGUGACCGCCCGAGUGACCAGCGCAGUGACCGCGGGAGUGACCGCCCGAGUGACCGCCCGAGUGACCGCGGGAGUGACCGCCCGAGUGACCGCCAGAGUGACCACGGGAGUGACCAGAACAGUGACCGGCGCAGUGACCAGAACAGUGACCGGCGCAGUGACCAGCGCAGUGACCAGCGCAGUGACCACGGGAGUGACCGCCAGAGUGACCGCGGGAGUGACCGCGGGAGUGACCACCCGAGUGACCGCCUGAGUGACCGCCUGAGUGACCAGCGCAGUGACCGCGGGAGUGACCACCCGAGUGACCGCCCGAGUGACCGGCGCAGUGACCAGAACAGUGACCACGGGAGUGACCGCCCGAGUGACCAGAACAGUGACCGGCGCAGUGACCAGCGCAGUGACCAGCACAGUGACCACGGGAGUGACCGGCACAGUGACCACGGGAGUGACCGCCAGAGUGACCAGCGCAGUGACCAGCGCAGUGACCGCGGGAGUGACCGCGGGAGUGACCGCGGGAGUGACCGGCACAGUGACCACGGGAGUGACCGCGGGAGUGACCAGCGCAGUGACCAGAACAGUGACCGCCAGAGUGACCACAGGAGUGACCGCGGGAGUGACCACGGGAGUGACCGCAGGAGUGACCACGGGAGUGACCACGGGAGUGACCGCGGGAGUGACCAGCACAGUGACCGCCAGAGUGACCGCCUCAGUGACCACGGCCAUGACCACCAGAGUGACCGCCAGAGUGACCACCCCAGUGAUCACCCAAGUGACCGCCCCAGUGACCCAUGGAGUGAUCCCACAGCCAUGAGUGACCACUGGAGCGACCAGCAGAGUGACCACCAGAGUGAUCCCACAGUCACCAGUGACCACAGGAGUGACCACCGCAGUGACCCCACAGCCACCGGUGACCCCAUGGCCAUGAGUGACCCCUGGAGCGACCCCCAGAGCGACCCUCAGAGUGACCCCCGGAGUGACCCCCGGAGCAACUCACGGAGUGACCCCCGGAUUGACUCCACGGCCACAAGUGACCCCCAGAGCGACCCCCGGAGCGACCCCCACAGCCCCACGGCCGCCCAGAGCGACCCCCGGUGUCCGGCAGUGCCCCCGAGUGACCCCCAGCGCCCCAGGCUGCCCCACGGAGGGACCCCGCAGUGA